rnacentral:lncRNA from 1 species
CACAAUUUCAUUCCGCGAUUCCCGUUUUGCAGCAACAUUGGAGUCAUGCCGUCACGUGACUGACCCAAGUUUUAUUUGCGCGAGUGGACACUAUUUGGGCCGUUAUUACGUAUUCCUUCUUCCCACGUCAUGGCUUGAUUCCGCAGGUCCGAGGCCGCGUCCGACAUUGCCGCCUCCUCGUCAUGCCUCGUCUCAUCGCUCUGUUCUCCCGUUUAUCUGCGCAGAGUUCCUGCUGCCAGUCGUGGCGUGUCUCGGACUGCUUUGCGCUCUCGGAGCGUUCGCCUACCCGGCCGACCCCGAGUGCCACUUCACGGGCUUCCUGCUGAGCGUGCACGAAGCCGUGCGUCACCUGCGCUCCGAGCACGUGAGUGAUGACGCUGCAGAGCGCGCGCACGCGCUUCCCCCCCCCCCAGCAGCGUGACGUCACGAAGUACCGCUUUUAACGUACCCUCUCGUUCACAGUCUCGCGUGCAGCUGCAGUGCGCAUCGUCCGAGUGCGAGAGCGAGCUGAGCGGGGCCUGCCCGCCCGCGUGCCGCUCGUGCGCACUCGUGCUCGCGCCCUGCCGGGAUCCCGCGCGCCUCUCCGAGUGCUUCGACCGCAUCUCGAGCGUCAUGCGAGGGUACGACGACUCGCUGCAAGCUUUCCAACAGACGCUGUCGCCUCCCGUCGCAGGAGAGUCGCCGCUGUCUCUGUGUAAGCCGAAUGAAGUGGGAACGCUCAACUCCACCAUCAAUCGAGUUCAGAAUGCUCUCGCUGCACUCAAGAGUGGAGACGCUCUGCAGCCUGCAUCCAACCCAGCCCAGAACAUCACUUUCAUUGAUCCCGGGAUCACCGAGCCCUCGUGCUGGGAUGAGAAAGUCGGCACACACCUGUUCCUGCGCAAGUUUGAAUGGUGCACAAGGCGAGCGUACAGGGCCGCGAUCAGCGGGCCUUGUCGGCCCAUUUUGGUUUGAAUUUCCGUUCGACCCUUCACGUUCUUCAAAGGGUACAAUACAUGGAAUUCUCAACACAGGAGGAGGCCGUCAGGCCUCUCAUGCCCAAACCACAUGCACACCUCCUCACCCUUCAGCACAACAACCAAACCCACAGCACAAACCCGAUCCACCCUGGCACGCACUCGGUGCAAAGGGGAUGGGUGGGGGGGGGGAAGAGGUACGUCCAUCACAUGAACAAUCACAAAAUCUAAAUCCCAUCUUCGGUUUGAAUGUGACCACCACUGAUCAGCACAAUCACAACGCAAGCAAUCGACACGCCAUUUUGGUCUCAACAAAAUCAAUGCUCGUAUUUUAUGACGAUAAGUUAAUGUAUUGACCUCUGUAGUGAAACGAAUCCUCUUUGGAAGAAAUUUCUAUAUUUAUUUAUCAUUUAUAUUGCAGCAGAAUUAUUUUUAUUGGCAUAUUUUUGAUAUCAUCAUCAUCAUCA